CAANGUAUGCUUUGGAAACUGUUAGACUUGAGUGCAGAAGGGGAGAGUGGAAUUCCAUGUGUAGCGGUGAAAUGCGUAGAUAUAUGGAGGAACACCGGUGGCGAAAGCGGCUCUCUGGUCUGUCACUGACGCUGAGGCUCGAAAGCGUGGGUAGCGAACAGGAUUAGAUACCCUGGUAGUNCACGCCGUAAACGCUGAGUGCUAGGUGUUAGGUCCUUUCCGGGACUUAGUGCCGACGCUAACGCAUUAAGCACUCCGCCUGGGGAGUACGACCGCAAGGUUGAAACUCAAAGGAAUUGACGGGGGCCCGCACAAGCGGUGGAGCAUGUGGUUUAAUUCGAAGCAACGCGAAGAACCUUACCAGGUCUUGACAUCCCGAUGCCCGCUCUAGAGAUAGAGUUUUACUUUUUGUACAUCGGAGACAGGUGGUGCAUGGUUGUCGUCAGCUCGUGUCGUGAGAUGUUGGGUUNNNNNNNNCAACGAGCGCAACCCUUAUUGUUAGUUGCCAUCAUUAAGUUGGGCACUCUAGCGAGACUGCCGGUAAUAAACCGGAGGAAGGUGGGGAUGACGUCAAAUCAUCAUGCCCCUUAUGACCUGGGCUACACACGUGCUACAAUGGUUGGUACAACGAGUCGCAAGCCGGUGACGGCAAGCUAAUCUCUGAAAGCCAAUCUCAGUUCGGAUUGUAGGCUGCAACUCGCCUACAUGAAGUCGGAAUCGCUAGUAAUCGCGGAUCAGCACGCCGCGGUGAAUACGUUCCCGGGCCUU
rnacentral:rRNA from 1 species